CUUCAGCCCCCCACCCACCUUUGUGGCAAUAAAGAGGGUCUUUGUCUUUUGUCACACUGCACGUGGGCCCUGAACCUUUCUGAGGAGUCCCGCAGACAGCUCACAACACUCCAGGACCCCUGCACGCCCCUCUCCGUGUCUGCUACCUCGCCCGGGGCUCAGGAAAGCAGCUGCCUCACCUCCCAGGCCACAGACAGGCCUUACCUGCCACCUAACCUGACCAGAGUCACCACGGUGUCCACCCUGCACAACCAGGAGGCUGGUGGAACCCUCACACGGGGGUGGCACUUUUGUUACAAAGAACGGGGGAAAAGUCUCGAUUUCCACAGAUAAGUAGUAGCUAAUGCUAACAGGCUUUCAGGAGGCUGCCUUUUGAUCUUAGGACAGUCUUUAAGGUAAAUCAGAGUUUCUCAACCUUUCUUUCAUUAUCACCCCCCCUUAAGGAGCCUUGGUAGACAUUUUUUCCUAAUUGUGCUCUCCUUCCUCCAUGAAAUCUUAACACCAUAGAUAUACUGUGUAUCUCUUUAUGUAUAGUGACCCUUCGGAGGGCUGCGCACCACUGUCAUAGCUAGAUUUUUUUUGUCCCCUUGGAGGCAAUACUACUCUGGUUGAGAACACAGGAGUUCAAUUGACCCAAGGCUUGAAAUAGUGGUAGACUUAUUUUUUUUCAAAGUAUAAUUACUAAAAAUGAUAGCAAAACUGGAAACAAUGGAAAAUUCUUAGACAAUAAUGAUUAGUCGCUAGACACUAUUCUAAGCACUUGAUCUGUACUUACGUAAGCUCAUAAUACUAUUAUUAUCCUCGUUUAAUAGAUGAAGAAAAGGAGGCACGGAGAGGUCAGGUGACUUACCCAAGGCCACACAGGUAGCGGGCAGCAGAGGUGGGAAUCAAGACCAGACUCCACACCCUAACCACUAGGCAAUACUGGUCUCCCACAAUACGAAACAACUGCUUGUGUCUUAAUCACAAAUGUAGAAAUCAAACGAUGCACCCAAACCCAACAAUAAGCCUGUAACCAACCAUCGUGAGACACUUCCACAAAGUGACACAUCAUACAUUAUUAAACUGGCCACUGAGCUAUGAAGACACCCCAAGCCAGGCCCACCAAGAGCACAGGUCUAAGAAUCUACCCAACAGAAAAGCCACCUUGCCGUCAAGAUACGUGUACAAGUGUGCUCAGUGGGGCAUGUUGCAACAGGGCGAAAAGCAUCAACAACCUACAGGUUCAUUGCUAGGUGAAGGCUCAGGCACAUCAAUGUCUGCCUUGGGAAUACUAUGCAACCACGAAAAAGGCUGAGUCAGUGUGUGUCUGUGAACACUGACAGCUCGGGUAAAUAACGUGCUAUUCCGGGAGAUGCUGGGCCUGGCAUCUGAACUCCCUCCUAUCUAGGAAUCCUUGCCUUCUUCAAGUCCUGGUGGGGGCCGGGUCCACCUCUCACUCUGGGGCCUGCAAAUGCCACCAGUAACAUUAACUGCAGUGAUGCUAUCAGCCUGGUUUCAGGGCAUAAUGGUGGCCAUGGUCCGGGCUGCUGCCUGGUGUCCACAGUCUGGGCCCACAGCAAGACUGGGGACCACCCUGAUGUCUUUUAAAGAAAUUUCCGUCACUAUUGGCCAGCCGAGAGCUACUGUUUGCAACUAAGAACCCUACUGAUGAAAAUGUUCACAUUAGGACUUUUUGUUUUUUAACCAAAAAAAAAAUUGGCCCUUAUAGAUCGGUAGAUAAGGACGGCUAACAUUUCUUGAGACAGUUACUACAUACAUACUACAUGCCCUGUUCUAAAUACUUUUCAGGUGCCAACUCACUUAGUGUCCACAACAACCCUGUUAGGUCUCUACGAAGAAUCUCAUUUUACAGAUGAGGGAACGCAGGCUUCGAAGAGGGUAGGUAACGUGCCCAAAGUUACAAAGUUUGCAGCUAGUUUGUAGGUGGUUCGAGAAUGCGGGAAGUCUGGCUCCAGAGCCCACAGUCCCAGCCGUUCGGCAAACACGAUUCCACAGAUACUCUGAAGAAGGACUGACUGCAGGAGCUGUCUACACCUGUUACCUCUGGGACGGGACUGGGAAGGGGGAGGGCGGUCGGGUUGGAGGAGGCCGUGGGUGUGUUCCUUCUGUCCGGUUUAAAUCUUUUACAACAGGAACCAUUCAUGUGCUACUUUCAGAUAAAGCAGCAUUGUGGAGCGAUUAAACUUGAACUAGGGUACCUGCACACCAAAGGCCCUGGCAACGGAGACUCCGCUGCCUGCAGUAGCUCCCUGCUGCCACCUCCCAAGGACCCGAGGAGGAUUCAGUGCCACACCUCAUGCCAGGGGUUUCCUCCUGGUUCUGUGACAACCCAUGCCCAAGGUGUCUACUGUGAUGUGGCACACAGGUAGAGGCUAGUUGUGUAGAUCACACAAGCUCUGGGUUCAAGGGCACCUGGCAGCCCACCUCCAACACCCCACUCCUCAAGUUUGGUCUUAAAGCACCACGUGGUCCCAGUCCCCCUCCUAGAGCUUCUGACCCUCCCAUCUACUGCCCCAAUUCACUUGCUAAGGCCCAAAUCAGAGCUAAUUCUCCUGCCAGCCUCAGUUUCUCCUAUUCCCUGCACACAUCACUUCCGAGUAAUGCCUCCUUUGCUGGUGGAAGGGUACCAUGUUCACGGGCCAUUCUUAGUUUAUCCACCCUCUUCUCCUUUCUUCACUUGAUAGUCUAUCUUACUGAACUCCUGAGGGCCACCUGCACCCUUUCACACAAACCCCCCACUACCACACAAGGGCAGGAGUUGCUAGCAACACCACCUUGAUCACAGGUCUGCUCUGCAAUAACUCUAACACCCAAGGGCUAUUAUUUCACACGGGCCCUAACCAGAUGAGGGUUGUUUUUUGUUUUUGUUUUUACUUUUUAUUUUGAAAUAGUUUCAAACCUACUGAAAAGCUACAUGAGUACAAUGGACGCCACCUACUAAAGACCCCAAAUGUGUAUAUUUAAUCUGUCCUCUCUCCAUACAGUUUUUUUCUCUGAAACAUUUGAGACUACGUUGCACACAAGAUACCCCUCUAAACACUUCAGUGUACAUUGCCUAAAAGACAUUCUCUUGCAUUACCAGUUUAUUUGCCUAAUCAGGAAGUUAGCAUUGAUACAACACUAUCAUCUAAUCUACAGACUUUAUUCAACUGUUGCCAACUGUCCCAGUGAUGUCUUUCAGACACACACACACACACACACACACACACACACACACACACACAGAGAGAGAGAGAGAGAGAGAGAGAGAGAGAGAGAGAGAGAGACAGAUAGGGAGAGAGAGAGGAAACAAAGAACAAACCCAUGGUCCAGGAUUCAGUCCAGGCUAAACACUGCUUAGAACGAAACUUCCCAAUUUCUAGACCUGUCCAUCCAGACUGGACAAGUCACUGUCCUCUCUGGGCUCCACCCUCCAUAAACUAUGAGGAUAAAAGGGCAGAGAAGCCAAAGGCAUUGCAAUCCUUGUAUAUUUAAAGUGAUCAGUGGGGCCACAAUGACUAUGAUAACCUUCAGCUUCCCCCAGGCUUUGGGUCAUUACUAGGUCAUUACUUUACUAGAUCAUUAUAUGCAUGUCUCACAUGUACCAUCUCAUCUAAACCCAACUGUUUCUACGGUCAUCCCCAUUUUGCAGAUGAAAAAAUUGAGCUCGUGGUGGUUGAGUAACUUGCUGAAGACCUUUCCAAUGCUUACAGAAUUAGAAACAAGGAUGGAAGAAAACAUGCCUUGUCAUUUGCAGUCUGACCAACCUUCGCUAGACUGAAAUAGCCUGCUAGGUGAGAGGGAGGCAGAUCUCUAAAGACAGACCACCGAAGCUGCAGCGGCCACCAGACACAGGGUGGUUGCACAGCUGCAUAGCAAAAGAACGCUCUGGUCAAAAGCAGCACACAGUCCCCGAGGCAGAGGAGAAGUGGAUUCUGGGACCACAGUGAAAACAGAACUACACCAAGUUCCAUGCUGCAAAACAAUCUCUCCUUGUGGCCUGGAGUUGAAUUUUUGUCCCCUCCCUAUGCAUAGCUCUGCCCUAUGCAGCUGAAUAUGAAGUCCCUCUGUAGGAAAUUGGCCACAUCCAGUGAAAUAAUCAACCUUUGAUGCACUCACUAGAAGAGUACCAGGCACACACUUCUGCAUCGAGUGCUGGCUAAGCCUAUGAGGGUGCUAUCCCAUUUGACAGCCAGUUCCACGACCCGCCCUGGUCUGAGCCAGCACAGGACGGACGUCUGUAAGUCCUUACAUAGUGCUGGCGCCUUACAAGAGAAGCUGUUGGGGCCAGAUGUUUUGAAACAGGCAUCAUGUUAAGUGGAUCCAUAUCCUUCCAUUAGCUAUGGGGGCAAAUCAACUCCUUCCCCAGGAGGAAAGGCCAUGCAUUUGUCCCAGUGGAUUUGUGACCACCUUCCCAGGUUAUGUGACAUGUAGGAAAGUUCUUCUCUUCCUGUCCUCAGCACAGAUGCUGCUGUGCCUCUGGCUGCCAGCAGUUUGCAAAUGUUGUAACAUUUCCCAGCUAAAUCGUGACGCUCUGAAAGACUUCUUACGAUUUCUAUUUUUUUAAUGGCAUGGCCCCAAUAAA